GCCAGCGUCUCCUCCAGGACCUCCAUGGCCGCCGCCAGCUUCUCCUCAGGGAGCGGCCGGCCCAGGAAGAGCGGCACCAGCGCCUGAGCGAGGAGGAAGCAAAGCACAGAAUACGUAUUGGAAGGAGGCCUACUUCCACCAGGCCAUCGAGUCCACCUGGCCAUCCCUUGCUUACCUGGACCGCCUCCUGGAGCUGCUGCAGAGCCUCUUGGUAGCGAGGGACCAUUGGCUGGAUCUCGUCCACUUUAACCGUCUGCUGACCCAUGGCGGGGAGGCCGGCUUGGGACAGCAUCCGCAGGAAGCGGGACUCCUGAUUGGACGGGAAGGGCAUCCGUCAAAUACACAGGACACGGAUGGGGUUCUGGGAUCCAAUCUCUGUCUGUCUUACCUGUUGCUUUAAGAGGAGCGUGAAGGCCAAGCCGGCUCUCCCGGCCCUCGCUGUGCGGCCCACCCUGGAAGAGAAUAGACAGCAUUAUUAUUAUUAUUAUUAUUAUUAUUAUUAUUAUUAUUAUUAUUAUUAUUAUUAUUAUUAUGGCGGGAGUCUGUUAAUUAUCAUUAAUAUAAUUCUAUUCUGAAUGUUAUUAGGCUCCUUUCAUCGGGGUAUUUUAAGGUAAUGAUUUUAUCUUAUAUUGCUGCUAUAGUCCCCUCCCCACACCUUUGAAGUUGACGGAUUUGCAUUGGUGGUUGUUUGAUAUUAUUACUGUUAUAUAAACCUUUGUUUUAACUUCUGUUUUAUCAUCUUCUUGUGUUUUAAACUGUGUAUAUUGUUUAAUGUAUUUGUGCUGUUACUUUUGUAACAUUGUGAGCCGCCCCGAGUCCCCACGGGGAGAUGUUGGUGGGGUAUAAAUAAAGUUUUAUUAUUAUUA